rnacentral:rRNA from 1 species
AGUAACACGUAAACAACCUGCCUUCAGGAUGGGGACAACAGACGGAAACGACUGCUAAUACCGAAUAAGUUCCAAGAGCCGCAUGGCCCAUGGAAGAAAAGGUGGCCUCUACCUGUAAGCUAUCGCCUGAAGAGGGGUUUGCGUCUGAUUAGCUGGUUGGAGGGGUAACGGCCCACCAAGGCGACGAUCAGUAGCCGGUCUGAGAGGAUGAACGGCCACACUGGUACUGAGACACGGUCCAGACUCCUACGGGAGGCAGCAUG